rnacentral:rRNA from 1 species
CUGACCUCGAAUCAGGUGGGACUACCCGCUGAACUUAAGCAUAUCAAUAAGCGGAGGAAAAGAAACUAACAAGGAUUCCCCUAGUAACGGCGAGUGAAGCGGGAUGAGCUCAAAUUUAAAAUCUGGUAGUCUUUGACUGCCCGAGUUGUAAUCUAGAGAAGUGUUUUCUGUGCUGGACCGUG